rnacentral:rRNA from 1 species
AUACGGAGGAUGCAAGCGUUAUUCGGAAUCACUGGGCGUAAAGGACGCGUAGGCGGGUCGGCAAGUCAGAUGUGAAAUCCUACAGCUUAACUGUAGAACUGCAUUUGAAACUGCUAACCUAGAGUAUGGGAGGGGGAGAUGGAAUUAGUGGUGUAGGGGUAAAAUCCGUAGAUAUCACUAGGAAUACCGAAAGCGAAGGCGAUCUCCUGGAACAUAACUGACGCUAAGGCGUGAAAGCGUGGGGAGCAAACAGGAUUAGAAACCCUAGUAGUCC